UUAUUUUUUUUCCCUCCAAUCUCUUUCUAUCCUUGCUUUCUCCCUCCCCCCUUUUUUCGUUCUGUUUGUCCCACAUUGUCCCAGUGAAACGAGAAGGGAAGAAAAGGGCAGAGAAAGGACAAAAGCAGAAUAUUUCCAUCCUCUGUUAAUGCUUUUUUUCUUGAUCAGGGCAACAAAUCUGAAAGAUUAAGGGCAACUUUAAAGGCCAUUUAAUAAAGGGGUCUUAACCAGCUGCUCUUUGACAUUGCUCCCCCAUUUGAAUUUCUAGUUAUCUGGGGGCAUUGAAUGAGCUGUUUUUUUCCUUUUUUUUUUUUUUUUGCAGUAGGUUUUGUGUUUUUCCACCAGCAGCCUCAUGCCAAGGGAGCAGCCUUCCAGGAGGCUUUGGCUUCCCAGGGCUUUGGGGGAGCUGCUGGGGAGGAGAGGGCGGGUGCCAAAAAAAAAGGCACAACCAAGCAAAGUGAGCUCCUUCUUCUCCCUUUGCACCCCUCCUCCAGCUGCCGAAACUCCUUGCUGUGCCUUGUUGGGCUGCUGCCAUCCCUUCCCAACUGGGGAUUGGGAUGCUCCAAGGGCAAAGCCCUGUGCCCUGCGCGUUCCCAUGCUGGCCCCAAGAGGGUUUAUUUGAAGCUGGGGCACCCCGUGGUGAAUAACCAGCCUGGCAGCAGAGCAUCCUUCUCCUCCUGCUUCUCCUCCUGGAGGAACACCUUGUGUCCCAGGAAAUCGCUUCCUGCCUGCAACUUGACUUCUCUGGGAGCUGGCGUUUGGAAACUGCCUGGAGAGGAGACCUGUUGUGUGCAUGCCCACCGUGGUCCUCCCGAGGAGAGCUUUCAUCCUGCCCUUGAUUCACUGCAUCUUGAAUUGAUAAUUCAUAAUUCUCUGGACUUUCUGGCAUCAGUCGGGACAACAAGUCCCUCUUCAUUCCCUGUUUUCCUUUCCCCUCUCUCUUUCCUCGCUGAAAUUAUUAUUCUUUGCACAACGGGAAGGCAGCGCAUGCCAUACAUGUGAAUAACCAGCAUAUUGCCACGUUAUCUGCUGCUGGCUUUUUUCCUUCUCCAAGCCAAAGCAAACAAAUAAAGUCUGUAUAAUUAUUAUAUCCAUUAAAAAUAAUGUCGCAGCUCGGUAAACAGAGCAGGCUGCACGAGGGGAGCGCGACAGUGGCAUUAAAAUAGCACAAAGCCAAGUGUCUGGGCCCCAAUGAGAACCAGUGUAGAUGAAAUUUGGCGAUAGUUUUCAAACAUAACCCUGAAGGAAACGUGCGAAAUAGCACAAAAGACUCGAGCACAAUAGAGUGUAACGGGGAUUUGCUACAUAAUUCCUCCUUUUUUCCUUCUCCUUGGGUAUUUUUGGGGAGGCGCGAGGCAUCACAGGAAGCUGUCUCUGAGCUCCCAGCGAGGGAAGUUUUGGGCACAGCCUCGUUAUCAUCAUCUGGGGAUGGAGGUUUUGGGAUUCCUGUGCCUCGGGACCCUUGUAGCAGGGCUGUUUGGGUAUGGAGGCUGCAGCAGCAUGGGGAUGCUCUCGUGGGAUUUCCCCUAAAGGGGACCCUUUGCCAGAGCACGACCCAUGAAUUUUGCAAAAAAAAAAGAAGUGACGAUUUCUGGUUGGAGAGGUGGUUUUGGUUCGAUAAGGCUGUUGCAUGCAAAGCAGGCCUGGUGCCGCCUGGCUCCUCCGUCCCACCCUUUUUCAGCCCAGACUUUGCUUUCUCUGGUUUUUCCCUCCCCUCCCUGCUUCCACAUCCAGUCCUGUUUAAUAAAGGUGCACAGCGCGGG